UACGUAGGGUCCGAGCGUUGUCCGGAAUUAUUGGGCGUAAAGAGCUCGUAGGCGGUCUGUUGCGUCGGCUGUGAAAACUCAGGGCUUAACCCUGAGCCUGCUCCCGAUACGGGCAGACUAGAGGUAUGCAGGGGAGAACGGAAUUCCUGGUGUAGCGGUGAAAUGCGCAGAUAUCAGGAGGAACACCGGUGGCGAAGGCGGUUCUCUGGGCAUUACCUGACGCUGAGGAGCGAAAGUGUGGGGAGCGAACAGG
rnacentral:rRNA from 1 species